AGUCGAGGAUCUUCGGCAAUGGGCGCAAGCCUGACCGAGCGACGCCGCGUGUGCGAUGAAGGCCUUCGGGUUGUAAAGCACUGUCGAGGGGGAGAAAGGGAAACUUGAUCGACCCCUGGAGGAAGCACGGGCUAAGUUCGUGCCAGCAGCCGCGGUAAGACGAACCGUGCGAACGUUGUUCGGAAUCAUUGGGCUUAAAGGGCGCGUAGGCGGGGGGACAAGUCGAAGGUGAAAGCCCACGGCUCAACCGUGGAAGGGCCCUCGAUACUGUCCUCCUCGAGGGAGAUAGGGGCGUGCGGAACUUCCGGUGGAGCGGUGAAAUGCGUAGAUAUCGGAAGGAACACCGGUGGCGAAAGCGGCACGCUGGACCUCCACUGACGCUGAGGCGCGAAAGCCAGGGGAGCGAA
rnacentral:rRNA from 1 species